rnacentral:rRNA from 1 species
AGAGGAUCCCCAGAGUUUGAUCAUGGCUCAGAUUGAACGCUGGCGGCAUGCCUUACACAUGCAAGUCGAACGGCAGCGGGGACUUCGGUCCGCCGGCGAGUGGCGAACGGGUGAGUAAAGUAUCGGAACGUACCAUUCAGUGGGGGAUAACGUAGCGAAAGUUACGCUAAUACCGCAUAUUCUGUGAGCAGGAAAGCAGGGGAUCUUCGGACCUUGCGCUGAUUGAGCGGCCGAUAUCAGAUUAGCUAGUUGGUGGGGUAAAGGCCUACCAAGGCGACGAUCUGUAGCGGGUCUGAGAGGAUGAUCCGCCACACUGGGACUGAGACACGGCCCAGACUCCUACGGGAGGCAGCAGUGGGGAAUUUUGGACAAUGGGCGCAAGCCUGAUCCAGCCAUGCCGCGUGAGUGGAGAAGGCCUUCGGGUUGUAAAGCUCUUUCGGCCGGGAAGAAAUCGUGUGGGCUAAUACCCUGGCCAUGGAUGACGGUACCGGAAUAAAGAAAGCAUCGGCUAACUACGUGCCAGCAGGCGCGGUAAUACGUAGGGUGCGAGCGUUAAUCGGAAUUACUGGGCGUAAAGCGUGCGCAGGCGGUUUUGUAAGACAGGCGUGAAAUCCCCGGGCUCAACCUGGGAACUGCGCUUGUGACUGCAUCACUCGAGUACGGCAGAGGGGGGUGGAAUUUCCACGUGUAGCAGUGAAAAUGCGUAGAGAUGUGGAGGAACACCGAUGGCGAAGGCAGCCCCCCUGGGCCGAUACUGGCGCUCAUGCACGAAAAGCGUGGGUAGCAAACAGGAUUAGAUACCCUGGUAGUCCACGCCCUAAACGAUGUCAACUAGGUGUUGGGGUGGGUAAAACCAUUUAGUACCGUAGCUAACGCGUGAAGUUGACCGCCUGGGGAGUACGGCCGCAAGGUUAAAACUCAAAGGAAUUGACGGGGACCCACACAAGCGGUGGAUGAUGUGGAUUAAUUCGAUGCAACGCGAAAAACCUUACCUACCCUUGACAUGUUCAGAAUCCUUGAGAGAUUGAGGAGUGCCCGAAAGGGAGCUGGAACACAGGUGCUGCAUGGCUGUCGUCAGCUCGUGUCGUGAGAUGUUGGGUUAAGUCCCGCAACGAGCGCAACCCCUAUCAUUAGUUGCCAACAGGUUAAGCUGGGGACUCUAAUGAGACUGCCCGCGCAAGCGGUGAGGAAGGUGGGGAUGACGUCAAGUCAUCACGGCCCUUACGUCCUGGGCUACACACGUGCUACAAUGGCCGAUACAGAGGACAGCCACAUGGUAACAUGGAGCUAAUCCUAAAAGUCGGUCUCAGUUCGGAUCGAGGUCUGCAACCCGACCUCGUGAAGCUGGAUUCGCUAGUAAUCGCAUAUCAGCCAUGAUGCGGUGAAUACGUUCCCGGGCCUUGUACACACCGCCCGUCAAGCCAUGGGAGUUGGGGGUACCUGAAGUCGAUCACCGCAAGGAGUCGCCUAGGGUAAAACCAAUGACUGGGGCUAAGUCGUAACA